rnacentral:rRNA from 1 species
CUCGUAGGCGGCCAACUAAGUCAGACGUGAAAUCCCUCGGCUUAACCGGGGAACUGCAUCUGAUACUGGAUGGCUUGAGUUCGGGAGAGGGAUGUGGAAUUCCAGGUGUAGCGGUGAAAUGCGUAGAUAUCUGGAGGAACACCGGUGGCGAAGGCGGCAUCCUGGACCGACACUGACGCUGAGGAGCGAAAGCCAGGGGAGCAAACG